rnacentral:rRNA from 1 species
AAUCAAGUGCCUUAAGGGUGUUCGGUGGAUGCCUUGGCGCUGAGAGGCGAUGAAGGACGUGCUACGCUGCGAUAAGCCGUGGGGAGCUGCGAAGAAGCUUUGAUCCACGGAUUUCCGAAUGGGGAAACCCACCUUCGAUAGCUGGAACUCCAAGAUCUCUAUCUUGGGGUUUGAACAGCAAUGUUUGAGACCAAGCCGUGAGGUUUUGGAUUUCCAGUUAUCAAGUGAAGGUAUGAAAUCUCUGAAUUCAUAGGAGGUUUUAAGCGAACCCAGGGAACUGAAACAUCUAAGUACCUGGAGGAAAGGACAUCAAUCGAGACUCCGUUAGUAGUGGCGAGCGAACGCGGACCAGGCC